rnacentral:rRNA from 1 species
GUGGGGAAUCUUGCGCAAUGGGCGAAAGCCUGACGCAGCCAUGCCGCGUGAAUGAUGAAGGUCUUAGGAUUGUAAAAUUCUUUCACCGGGGACGAUAAUGACGGUACCCGGAGAAGAAGCUCCGGCUAACUUCGUGCCAGCAGCCGCGGUAAUACGAAGGGGGCUAGCGUUGCUCGGAUUUACUGGGCGUAAAGGGCGCGUAGGCGGACAUUUAAGUCAGGGGUGAAAUCCCGGGGCUCAACCUCGGAACUGCCUUUGAUACUGGGUGUCUUGAGUAUGAGAGAGGUGUGUGGAACUCCGAGUGUAGAGGUGAAAUUCGUAGAUAUUCGGAAGAACACCAGUGGCGAAGGCGACACACUGGCUCAUUACUGACGCUGAGGCGCGAAAGCGUGGGGAGCAAACAGGAUUAGAUACCCGGGUAGUCC